rnacentral:rRNA from 1 species
UACAGAGGGUGCAAGCGUUAAUCGGAAUUACUGGGCGUAAAGCGCACGUAGGCGGUUUUUUAAGUCAGAUGUGAAAGCCCCGGGCUCAACCUGGGAAUUGCAUUUGAAACUGGGAAACUAGAGUGUGUGAGAGGGGGGUAGAAUUCCAAGUGUAGCGAUGAAAUGCGUAGAGAUUUGGAGGAAUACCAGUGGCGAAGGCGGCCCCCUGGCACAACACUGACGCUCAGGUGCGAAAGCGUGGGGAGCAAACAGG